rnacentral:siRNA from 1 species
GGCCGAGCGAGCCAACCCAUGGG